rnacentral:rRNA from 1 species
CCUACGGGCGGCAGCAGUGAGGAAUAUUGGUCAAUGGGCGCGAGCCUGAACCAGCCAAGUCGCGUGAGGGAAGACGGUCCUAUGGAUUGUAAACCUCUUUUGUCGGGGAGCAAAAGACGCCACGCGUGGCGUUCCGAGAGUACCCGAAGAAAAAGCAUCGGCUAACUCCGUGCCAGCAGCCGCGGUAAUACGGAGGAUGCGAGCGUUAUCCGGAUUUAUUGGGUUUAAAGGGUGCGCAGGCGGAAGAUCAAGUCAGCGGUAAAAUUGAGAGGCUCAACCUCUUCGAGCCGUUGAAACUGGUUUUCUUGAGUGAGGGAGAGGUAUGCGGAAUGCGUGGUGUAGCGGUGAAAUGCAUAGAUAUCACGCAGAACUCCGAUUGCGAAGGCAGCAUGCCGGCGCUCAACUGACGCUCAUGCACGAAAGUGUGGGUAUCGAACAGGAUUAGAUACCCGGGUAGUC